GAAAGCCGUAUACAUUGAAAAGUGUACGUACGGUUUGGAGGGGAGUCCACAGAAACCUGCUAACGAAAUUUAGUAAGGCGCUGGGUGCUUACCCUAC
rnacentral:ncRNA from 1 species